rnacentral:rRNA from 1 species
UACGUAGGAGGCAAGCGUUGUCCGGAAUUACUGGGUGUAAAGCGCGUGUAGGUGGUGGGCCAAGUCUGUGGUGAAAUCGCCCGGCUCAACUGGGCGGGGUCCGUGGAAACUGGUCGACUGGAGGACGGUAGAGGCGAGUGGAAUUCCCGGUGUAGUGGUGAAAUGCGUAGAGAUCGGGAGGAACACCAGUGGCGAAGGCGGCUCGCUGGGCCGGUCCUGACACUGAGACGCGAAGGCGUGGGGAGCGAACAGG